AGUUGGUAGCUCAAUGGUAGAGUGCAUGCUUUGUAUGUAUGAUGUCCUGGGUUCAAUCUCCAGCUUCUC
rnacentral:tRNA from 1 species